GGAAACACUCAACAGCAAGGCUACACAAACCAAAAGUCAAGCUACAGUUGACGUUGAAUCGUGUUCCCCAAAUUGAUUUUCGAACAUUCGUGCCAAAAUGGCAGAAUUGGUACCCAAGGCCAAUUGGGUUCGUUGGUUCUGAAAGCGAUACGGAAAUAAGUUUUUCGUAAAGGUGGACGAGAAUUUCAUGUGAGACACGUUCAAUCUCUUAUUCCUGGAGGGUGAGAAUUAUCAGAGGAGCCUCAAUGUGAUCCUCAACGAUUCCGAGCCCGAUGCUGGAAACAAUUUCGAUGUGGAGGCCGCUAAGCUCUACGGGCGUAUCCACGCCAGAUUCAUUCUCACAGAUCAUGGCAUCGAACUGAUCUACCAGAAGUUUCAAAAGGCGUCUUUGGCACAUGUCCACGCGCCUUAUGCACUCGCCAGAAAGUCCUUCCCAUUGCCAUGAGCGACACACCUGGCCAAGAAAUGGUGCGACUCUACUCUACUCUACCCAAGCACUCCAAGGCGAA
rnacentral:lncRNA from 1 species